UUCAUAACAAUGGAGAAAGGUUUGAGUUUGACAGCUGUCAUCAUCCGCGAACUUCUUUUUAGUAUUUGUCUCUUCCAAGAACAUCCAUAAUGCUUCAUCUCUCGGUCCACAGUAGUGGAUCUCUUAUGAGGAUCUUUGGAAUCUAAGUGAAGACGGGAAUGCUGAUAAGAAGAACGACACAACAAUUCUCAGAUCUGAAGAAUAGAAGAUGGGCAACGACAUCUGAUUACUACAUGGACAGUGACAUUUGAUUCCUACAUGGACAGCAAUGUGUGAGUCCUACAUGGACAUCCACAUACUCGUUCAUGUCAGCCACAUCCAAUUCCUACAUGAGCAGCCACAUCUGAUUCCUACAGAGGCAGCAAUGUACGAUUCCUACAUGGACAGCCACAUCUGAUCCAUACACAGCAAUGACUCAUUCCUACAUAGACAUCUGGUUCCUACAUGGACAGCAACAACUGACUUUUACAUGGACAUUAACUUCCCAAUCCUCAUGGACAAAGUGUGUGAUUCCUGCAUAGACAAUUUCGAUCACUGUACAACAUCUGAUUUGUGUGGAUUGUGUAGUAAAGAGAAUCUUUUAGUCAAAGAAAAGAGACUUUGGUUGUCCCUCAAGAAUAAUAACCACACAUUUUUGAUCCAAGAAUUUUGCGUUGAAGACACCAGACAACACCCCCCCCCCCGCCUUGAAAGAUAGUUUUUCCAAAACUUUUCCUUAAGUUUGUGAUGGAUAAUAAUGUGUUUUUUCGCAACAUGAUUUGUUAUCUUUCAAGACAGCAAAGAUUACCUUUGGUUUUUUGAAACGUGUAAUUUCAAUUCAAAAAGGUUGUUUUUUAAAUGUCCCUGGAAAUCCCAAUCCAAUAUGUUUAAAUAUGCAGGGAGAAUAAUCCCUAAUAAAAUACACUAUCUCGGAAGCAUUACUGCAGUAACGCUUCUCAGAUUCAAACUUUUGGGGGAAAAAAAGCUGAAACGAAAUGUUUCUCAAAAUGCUUUUACAAAUCUACGAAAGUUUCUAAAGGCUUGUAACCUAUUGUUUUUAUUGACAAUACAUUUUAGAGUGACUACAAAAUGAAUUCUUCUCAUUUAAAUAAUGUUCUAAUUUAGUUAUCCUUUUUUAACAUUAAAUAAUUAAAAGGCACUUUUAAUGACUUUGAAAUGAUAACGUUCAAACUUAAGAAUUAUAUAAUUAUUCAGAAUCCCUACUAGGUUAACAUUUUUCCACGUCAGAGUGUUAGUAGUUAUUUGAUGUCAAUAAUUCACUGGUAAAAAGCUGAUUAUAGAUAUUCUAGAUUUAAUUAAGAAUCAACGAUUAACAUAAACUUAUCUUAUAGCAUUGAAACUUUAUUGUAAUUCUGCGCUAUAUUAAAAAUGUUCAUUGUUAUUACCGUAAUAAAUAAAAAUGAUACACUAUUAAUUAAUCUAAACCUGUUUUUGUCUGAUUGUCACUAUUUUGUUGCCAAACCUGUAUUUAUUUGUAUAAAAAGAUUUAUUUGACUUCAUAAAACGAAACAAACAUGUGCAAACCGUGCAAUCUUAGUGUAUUCACAUUU